rnacentral:rRNA from 1 species
UACGGAGGGUGCAAGCGUUAUCCGGAUUCACUGGGUUUAAAGGGUGCGUAGGUGGAGUGGUAAGUCAGUGGUGAAAUCUCCAAGCUUAACUUGGAACUGCCGUUGAUACUAUCAUUCUUGAAUAUCGUGGAGGUAAGCGGAAUAUGUCAUGUAGCGGUGAAAUGCUUAGAUAUGACAUAGAACACCGAUUGCGAAGGCAGCUUGCUACACGAUCAUUGACACUGAGGCACGAAAAGCGUGGGGGAUCAAAACAGG